CUCGGUAUUUUUUAGUAUUUGUUGGUACUAAUCACUAUUCGUUGCUAAGUAGUUGGUUACGUAGGGAAUAAGGGAGUCUUAUGCUGGACAUUGGACACGGUUUGUCAUUAAUAUCAAGUCAUACAGACCUAUCAGGUGCCAUAAAAAGAUGUGAUAAAGACACUUAAAGUGAAAAUAACCGGUGCAAAAA